rnacentral:rRNA from 1 species
AUUGAACGCUGGCGGCAGGCCUAACACAUGCAAGUCGAACGAGUGGCGGACGGGUGAGUAAUGUCUGGGAAACUGCCUGAUGGAGGGGGAUAACUACUGGAAACGGUAGCUAAUACCGCAUACCAUCGGAUGUGCCCAGAUGGGAUUGGCUAGUAGGUGGGGUAACGGCUAACCUAGGCGACGAUCCCUAGCUGGUCUGAGAGGAUGACCAGCGCCACUGGACCUGAGGCACGGUCCAGGCUCCUACGAGAGGCAGCAGUGGGGAAUAUUGCACAAUGGGCGCAAGCCUGAUGCAGACAUGCCGCGUGUAUGAUGAAGGCCUUCGGGUUGUAAAGUACUUUCAGCGUGGAAGCGUUACCCGCAGGAGAAGCACCGGCUAACUCCGUGCCAGCAGCCGCGGUAAUUC